GUCACGGUCUACCCCGAUGGGGGGGUUUCUGUAGCCCUACAUCGUUGGAAAUGCCUUGCAGAUUAAACAUGUUGCUUCCCUUAUUCACAGAACCGUGCGUUAGAUCUGUGAGGAGGAACUACACACCUAAC